AAUAAUUGAUUUCUUUUUUCUUUUUUGGUUGAAACAGGUAAGAUGGCAGCCUAGCUGCCCGUUCUAUCAACAAUUAGCAACUCCUCAGUUUCCUUAGGGAAAUUUUACAGAAAAUUAUGUCUUCCUGAUACUUCCAUAUCUGCUUGGUGAUGAAAUCCGCGACGCGGUUGAUUUCUCUAGGCAUAUUUAAUCCCUUGUGAAUGCCCCACAGUUCUGCUUUCAAGAUGGAGCAAGUCCCUAUUCUUCUGCCAAAAUCCCACUGCCAAUUUCCAUUGUGAUCUUGGAUUACAGAGCUGAAGAAGGUAGGCCAGCUCUCUAUUCUUGGCGAAGGGCGAACUACCCAUAUCAACAAAGUUCUCGGGCAGAAUCUCAGCAUAUGGUUAAUGUCUUCUGUCUCGUAGUUACACAUAGGGCAGCUUGCAUCCGUCGUCAUAUGCCUGCGCACUCUUUCCGAAUUGGUCAGAUCUUUUCCAAUGAGCCAUAGAAAAGCUUUCUUUAAAUGCCUUUGUUUAGUGGACUGCUAUUUUUUUUCUGCAAAUAUGCACGUCUGAUGAAGUGAAGGUUGGUCUUCUUAGUUGAAUUCCUCGUUUUCUCUCGAUUUGAUGCAUAAAAUAAUAUUAAUAAAUUUCACUGGCAUCGACACCUGACAGCAUAUCGUGAUGCAGGUAAGAGUAAGCUUCAUGCGAUUUAAUUAUCCAUCAGCUUAAUUCAACUACAUAUAAGCUGAUCAUUGUCUACAAAUACAUAUAUGAUAUUGAGUGCUCUUCUUCUUCAACUAUCUAGAUAUACUCUCCGAGAUAAUUGACAAUAACAUCCCAUGAUGUCAUUAGCCAGCUAAGCCACGGGUGCUACAUCGGCUCCAUCGUCAUCGCCCCCGUUAUUUUCACUGUAAAUAAAUAGACGAGUGGCAACUAGGCGGUCGGUGAUGAGCUUCUUGGAGAGGCCUGCUGCAGAUUGCUCGGUAUUGUCUAGCACCAUUGUAGUUGUUCACUGACCGUCCUCUAGAACUAGAAGAAACUACUUUCAAGGGAAAAUAUCAGGGGAGAUUGCUGUGUGCUGAAAAGAAAGCACAUGUUCUCCUAUUUAUAACCGGAAAAAGUAGCACUACCAUUGUUCUGAAUUACAGUUACAGUCCCCUAAAGUUUUAUAAAUUCGUCUCUACUAACAUAAAUUUCUGUUUUCAUCCUUGAUUAUAGGCACAAUUACAGGUGUUACGAACGAGAAUCUGAUAGCACAACACGAUAAUUAUAAUUUGUAGUAUUACGGUGAGCAUUAGGGCCGCAUGUUAGAAGUAUGUGUGGGUUGCACAUGAGAAAAGAGGAAAAAGCAGGAAAGGGAGAGUGAUAUUGUAUCAACUUGUGGUUGAUUUGCAUAGAUUGUACUUACAUGGCGACCUGCGGUCCCACGCAUGAGCCAU